UACGUAGGGGGCGAGCGUUGUCCGGAUUUAUUGGGCGUAAAGAGCUCGUAGGCGGCUUGGCAAGUCGGGUGUGAAACCUCCAGGCUCAACCUGGAGACGCCACUCGAUACUGCUAUGGCUAGAGUCCGGUAGGGGACCACGGAAUUCCUGGUGUAGCGGUGAAAUGCGUAGAUAUCUGGAGGAACACCGGUGGCGAAGGCGGCAUCCUGGACCGAGAUUGACGCUGAGGCGCGAAAGCCAGGGGAGCAAACGGG
rnacentral:rRNA from 1 species